GCUUACGGCCACACCGGCCUGAGUACACCUGAUCUCGUCCGAUCUCGGAAGCCAAGCAGGGUCGGGCCUGGUUAGUACUUGGAUGGGAGACCGCCUGGGAAUACCAGGUGCUGUAAGCU
rnacentral:rRNA from 1 species